CUUAAAUUCAAGCAAGUUUUACUGAACCUUGGCUAUAACUGUAAAUAAUAACUUUACAAGAAUAGGUGAUCAUUUUCUUAAUCCAGCAAUGGCUGAAAAGCCUACAAAGCAAAUGUAAUAUAAAGGGCUAGCCAGUAAUUGUUGAUGUAUUCCCCCCAGAAACCUAAGUGCACUUGUAAGCUCUGAGGCUUGUAGUAGCCUGCAAAAAUAAGGAGCUCUGGGAUAAAAAUACUUGGAUUUUAGCAUGGAGGAUUUGCCGGGGUACCUGUCCCUGUGGGUCAGCCCUCCAAACACCACUCCAUUCUCAGUGCCCUCUUUAUUGUAGUGAAGUGCCAGCUUGGUGAGGAAGCCAUUUGCCCUCCCUGGCCUCUGCAGAAGGAAGAACACAGAUCCUUAGCAGUCUGGGGGCCUAGUAUGAUAGAAGCCUUCUUCCUGUGUGUUGACCUUGCUCGGCCAUAGCUGAUGUUUGUGAGCGUGCAGAGUAGAACUAAGAUCACUCCAGUGUAGGAAAGAAGCUCAAAAUGCAUUCUGUUGCUCUUUUUUGUUGUGGCAGUCUUAGACUUGAACUCAGGGCCUAGGCACUGUCCCUG